UGUCGCUUAGGUUCGUUUUCUCUGGCUAACGGAUUAUUCACCUUGAUGCUUCUCUACCACACCUUUUGAACUUUCUGCAGCCAAAGACUUUUACCCAGACAUGAGCCUGAAGAGGAAAAAAAAAAAAAAAACCAGUCACUCU
rfam:Felis catus isolate Cinnamon breed Abyssinian chromosome A2, whole genome shotgun sequence.